rnacentral:rRNA from 1 species
CCUACGGGUGGCUGCAGUGGGGAAUAUUGGACAAUGGGGGGAACCCUGAUCCAGCCAUGCCGCGUGUGUGAAGAAGGCCCUCGGGUUGUAAAGCACUUUCAGUGAGGAAGAACGCCUGGUGGUUAAUACCCAUCAGGAAAGACAUCACUCACAGAAGAAGCACCGGCUAACUCCGUGCCAGCAGCCGCGGUAAUACGGAGGGUGCGAGCGUUAAUCGGAAUUACUGGGCGUAAAGCGCGCGUAGGUGGCUUGAUAAGCCGGUUGUGAAAGCCCCGGGCUCAACCUGGGAACGGCAUCCGGAACUGUCAAGCUAGAGUGCAGGAGAGGAAGGUAGAAUUCCCGGUGUAGCGGUGAAAUGCGUAGAGAUCGGGAGGAAUACCAGUGGCGAAGGUGGCCUUCUGGACUGACACUGACACUGAGGUGCGAAAGCGUGGGUAGCAAACAGGAUUAGAUACCCCGGUAGUC